UGGAGAAAACAGUGCCGUAAGUGGAGGUGGUGUUGGCGGUGGAGGUAGAGAAUAUAUGUGAAUUGAUGGCGGUCACAGUUGUGGAGCAGUAAGAUUGGAAAAAAAAAAAUCAAUUUGAUUUCUUCAUCUUCAAUUCCAAAUGCUCCACCUAAAGAAACUAGGGUUAGCAAUUUUAUUUUUCCAAAUCACUGAAUAUUUCGAAUUCAGGGGUUUAAGAAACUAGGGUUAGCAAUUUUAUUUUUCCAAAUCACUGAAUAUUUCGAAUUCAGGGGUUUGGUUUGCUCGAGACUCUGAAUUGAAUUUAGGAGUUUGAGUUGAAAGCCAAGAUGAGUGAGGAGGUAUCAAAUCUAUUGGGAAGUAAGGUAGGAGACUAGGAGAGAUUUCAUGAAAUUCCUGAUGGAAUUGGUCUCGAAUUCCAUUAUAAUUAAUUAGGUGGCCGUAUGGACAGUAGCAUUGCUUCGGGUGUUUGAAUCAAGCAAACCCCCAUUCGAUGAAAAGCGAGGAAAGAGGAUUAUGGUGGUGGCGUAGACAGUAGUAAUGUUUUCUAUAGCAUGUGUUUUAAUUAAUGGAGGUGGCGGUUCUUGACUUUGAAGAUGAUGCUUAUAAAAAAAAAUUGUUUGAAAAUGGUACUGAUAGUUAUUGUUAUGUUUGAAUCUGGGUCGUUGGCGGAUUUGCUUUGAAGGUUUGAUAUCACCA